CCCGCCAGUCUGAGAUCACAGGCCUGUUCCUGCAGGCACUCUUUCUGAUAAGGCCCCAGGAGGUUGAGGUUGACCUAAUUCCCUGCCGGAAGCUGGUUCCCUGACUCUGGGGGUCAGGUGCCAGGGCCGGCCCCGAGACUGUUGGUGUCUAAAGAAGGGGUUCACAAGCAUGGGCUCCAGAAUCAGACCCCGGGGAUUUGUAAACUGGCUCCAUCCCUUACCAGCUAUGUGAAUUUGGUGUGUCCAUGGAGGGCAAAAAAGAAACUGGAUCCCUGUGAUACUGUUGAGCCACUGGAUCAAGCCCUGCCUGAAGCCCACACUUUUGAAAUUUUCAGAUCUUGUGUUUGGUAUCGAGGCACAUUGGUUGCAACAUCUUACAUCCUCCAAGGAUGCUGAUUUAGAUCUGCUCUUUGGCCCUUCCUGCUUAGAUCCUCCUCAGGUAAGAUACCCAAACCCUGAAGUAUUAGUUAGGUAUUGCUGCUGUGAAAAAUAGACCCAAACAUAUCAUGGGUGAACAGAAAAGAAAUUUAUUUCAGUCUAGGGCACUUCUAGCCUGGGUCCAAGUGUGGUGAAUGUGGGGACAUCCUUGUCCAUGAAGUCAUUGGGGAUGUUGGCUGAUGGCGGCCAUAGCAUCUUUAAAAUGGCUUCCAAAGUCAUGCCAUGGGAUCACUGGCAGUUGACCAACAGUAAGAGUGUGGAAGGCUUUUAAUGGUCAGGCCUGGAAAGAGCACCCCUCUGUCACUCUUCAUUGAUCAGAACCAUGUUGCAUGGCCUCAUCCAACUCCAAGGAUGGAGUCUAGCUGUGAGCCCAGGAAGAAGAGGCAGUGGGCUUGGUGAAUGGCUAGCCGGUCUCUGCCAAGCCCGACUUCAGCCCACUGGCAUCUCUGGCAGCCUGGGCUCAUGGCCCACCUUGGCUCAGAUGCUGGGCUCAGCCUAGGGUUCCUGAAACUCCUCUGACUGGAAAUGGGAGUGGUUUGGGAUUUGGGGAAGUGCCAUUUCUAUCUUGGAUGGAUUAAGUGGAAGGGUGUAGAGCAGUGAGCAGGGCAGGAUGUGGCACCUUCACCACGGUCACAAAUCACCAUCAUGGACCACACGCCCCCCAGGCCUAUGGAAUCUGUCUUUCCUUGCAAGGUGAGGACAGUCAUGGGGACAAGCUGGCUGGUGAGCUCCCCAGAAGG